GUUUUUUUCCAUAAUUUGUAUAGUUUUGCUCUGUUUUCAGCUGAUUAUGUCUGAAGUUGUAUGUUGUUGGCUAUCAGUUUUGAAAAAAGCUAGUUUUGUUGGUUGCUGCUAGUUGGCAGAUUCAAGAGUUUGCCAAAUUACUUCUAUAUCCAUUGCAAGGUUUGUCUGCAUAAUAUUUGUUGAAGAAGUAUCUCUAAGAUCAUAAUGGAUGGGAUCAUUUCCUAUGUGUUUAGCUUCUAUAUCUAUAGCGCAUGUAUAUAUAUAUAUAUAUUUUUUUUCUUUCUCAAUAUUUUAGUUGAUGCUGAAUGAUUAUUUUUAGUUAAUUCCUUUUGUUAUAUGUGAAGGUUGUAUUCUUAAUCGAUAAGAGUUGGCUAAACAUAUCACAUAGGAACAAUCCUUUAUAUGAGAAUGGAGCUAAGGAGUUUCUUCAUUUUGCCUCAUUAGAUAGGCCUGAUUCAUUUGAAAUCUUGUGUCCAUGUCGAAAGUGUCGUAAUAUGAUAUUUGUCCCAAAAGAUUUGAUCGUUGAACACAUUGUGGUUGAUGGAUUUUUAACUAGUUAUACUACUUGGAUUUAUCAUGGUGAGAGAUCAUCUUCAUCAGUAUCUGUUGAUAAGUUAGAUAGAGGUGAUGAAAUGCAAGACAUGUUACAUGAAGCAUUUGGGAUUCCUCCUACAUCUGGUUUUGUUGAUAUAGACAUUGAUGGUGAUGGAUUUGGUGGAUCGAAUCUCCACAAUAAAGGGUUUGAUAAAAAGACUGAAGAAUUUUUUAAUUUAUUGAAAGAAGCUGAACGUGAGUUAUACCCUGGAAGCAAGUAUUCGCUACUUUCAUUCCUUGUUCGUCUAUUACAUUUAAAGCGUCUCAAUGGGUGGAGUAACAAUUCAUUUUCCAUGCUGCUAGAGUUGUUAAAAGAUGUGCUUCCUGAAGGUGAAACACUGUCCUUUAAUGAUGCAAAGAAAAUUAUUAAAGAUUUAGGACUUGAAUACAAAAAGAUACAGGCAUGUCCAAAUGAUUGUAUGAUUUAUUGGAAUGAGAUGAAAGAUAGAACGGACUGUAAGUUUUGCAAAGCACCAAGAUACAAACAUUUCAAAGGUGAAUCGGUUAAUAGUAGUUCAGAAACCUCUAAAAUUCCAGCAAAGGUGUUUAGAUAUUUUCCAUUGAUACCGCGGCUUCAAAGACUAUUUAUGUCGGCUAAAACAUCUACUGAAAUGAGAUGGCAUGCCGAAGGUCGCACUAGAGAUGGGGUAAUGCGCCAUCCUGCUGACAGUAUUGCUUGGAGGAAAUUUGAUGAAGUGCAUGUAGAUUUUGCUCAAGAUCCUCGAAAUGUUAGACUUGGAUUGGCUUCAGAUGGCUUUAGUCCAUUCAAGUCUAUGUCUAUCUCACAUAGCACAUGGCCAGUUGUCUUUGUUCCAUAUAACUUGCCACAAUGGUUGUGCAUGAAACAACCAUAUAUGAUAUUAUCAAUGAUUAUUGAUGGCCCUCGUGCACCGGGCAAUGAUAUUGAUGUCUAUCUACGACCCUUAAUUGAUGAGUUAAAAGAAUUGUGGGCUGGUGUUGACACUUAUGAUGCAUCAAACAAUUAGAUGUUUCAAAUGCGUGCAUCAUUGCUUUGGACAAUCAGUGAUUUUCCAGCACUAGGUAACUUAUCAGGAUAUGGUGUGAAAACUAGAUAUUCUUGUCCAUGUUGUCUUACCAAGACUAAAUUUACAAGAUUGAAAAAUGGACAGAAGUAUUGUUUCAUGUCUCAUAGGCGAUGGUUACCUCGUGGGCACAAGCUUCGAAAAGAUAAAAUUAUGUUCAAUGGCCUUGCGGAGUUGGAGGUAGCGCCUAAACGGUUGUCAGGAGUUCAGAUUCUUGCGCAAUUGAACAAUAUUAGAAAUAAUUUCGGAAAAGAUCCAUUGGCCAAAUCUCGUAAAAGGAAAUGGGGGGAUGUUGAUGAUAUUGAUAAUGUGUUGCAAAAUAUAUGGAACAAAAUGAGCAUAUUUUUUGAGUUGGAAUACUGGAAGGACAAUAUGAUCCGUCAUAAUCUUGAGUUGUAUUAUACCAAGAAGCUCAAGUUUGUAUUGUUUAGCUGUAAAUGGGUUAACAAUAACAAGGGGCUUAUUGAGAAAGAUGAUUAUGGAUUUCCUCUUGUGAAGUUUAAUCAUCUACUCUACACAAGGCAUCAGUUAUCAAAUGAACCUUUCAUUUUUGCAUCUCAAGCUCAACAAGUAUUUUAUGUCGAUCAUCCAAUGGGAAAGGAGUGGAAAAUUGUUGUAAAACUUAAGCCAAGAGGUUUUUACGAUUUAGGUGAAAACACACCGGCAAUUGAGCAUAAGGAAGGCCAUAUGGAACUGUGGCCUGACCAACAGCUUGAUGAUACUACAUUUGAAAGUGAAGAUGAUAUUGAAUGGGUUAGGGAAGGAGUACCAGGGAUAGAAGUUGACCCGCAAACUCUGGAAAUUAAUGAAGCAUUUGAUGAAGAUGACGAAAUAUCUUAGUUCUUAUUUCUAUUAUAGUUAUUGUCAUUAUUUUAAUAUAGAUGCUUAUUGAACAGUAAUUUGGUGAUUUUUACUAUGUUAUUCAGUUGUUAAAAUCUUGUGUGCCUGCAUGUCUUAUUAUUUGACCUGAUAGUUAUAUAUUAUUUUGAACUUUUAGAUAGUAGAAAAUAUUUUCAAUUUGGCAGGAUUCAUAGUUUUUGAGAAGCAUCGUUGAAAUGGCAAGAAAAAGACAGAGAAAUUCUAGUCAAGACGGGCUUUUAUCUAAUUCCUCGGAGCAACAAGGACAACAAGUGGAAAGUGGGGCAAUGCCUCAACCACCUCAAAAUUGGCCACGAAAUGAAAGACAACCUAUCCAAUCUGGUAAUUUGUCUAGAAAUGAUUCACAUGAUAUAGAAAAUAUUUCAGAUUAUAGUGAGAGUGAAGAACAAUCUAAGCGGCCUAGGGGUCCCACUAUGAUGCACUCAGGAUAGGGAAAAGACGGUGACAAUUUACAUGUUGAAUUGAAUGAUCGUGGACAAGUUAUUGGUCCAGAAGCAGCUAGAUUACAUUCAAAACUUGGUGUGAUAGCACGAAAUGGCAUUUUAGCGCCAUUGAAUCAUAGAGAUUGGAGGCUUGUUCCUGAUAUGUACAAGGAUAUAAUAUGGAGUGACAUUAAGUUGGAUCUAAAUGGAAAGAGUGGAAGCAUGAAGCAAAAAGUAAUGGCUAUGACCCGUAUAAAACUGAUAUUGAGCGCUUAGCUCAUCGUCCAAAGAGGGUUGCAGAAGAUCAGUGGCGUUCAUUAGUUCAUUAUUGGAGUUCAAAAGAAGCAAAGG